UACGGAGGGUGCAAGCGUUAUCCGGAUUCACUGGGUUUAAAGGGUGCGUAGGUGGGUUGAUAAGUCAGUGGUGAAAUCCCCGAGCUUAACUUGGGAACUGCCAUUGAUACUAUUGAUCUUGAAUACCGUGGAGGUCAGUGGAAUAUGUCAUGUAGCGGUGAAAUGCUUAGAUAUGACAUAGAACACCAAUUGCGAAGGCAGCUGGCUACGCGAAUAUUGACACUGAUGCACGAAAGCGUGGGGAUCAAACAGG
rnacentral:rRNA from 1 species